UCUUCUCUCUUCUAUCUAAACCUAAUCCAAGCUUCGGAUUCCUCGCUUCGCACCAACAAUGGUGGCAGGAAAGCAAGGAGAAUUGAUGGUUCAUACAUCACAGGAUUUCAUCAACAACGACCCAAUCAAACAGUUGCAAACCAAGUACAAAGAGUUUGAGAAUGGUUUCAAGGGUUGGCUCGCCAAACAAUCUUUACCCGUUGAAGCCGCUAUCGUCACCCUCACUAGCGCCGCCUAGGGUGCCGCCAUCGGUGGUAUCAUGGGUACUCUCACCACCGACGUCGCCGCCUCCCUUAAUCCACAGGCUAUGGCCUCUUUCCAGCAAGCCCAGGAUUGGUUAUAGCAUAAUCUCAGAUGUUGAGACAAUGGGGCUCAUAACCCGGGAGAGGUUUCUGAUAUAUCCAACACAAUUACCUUUAGGUAAUGUGAACUUACUAGAAUCCAGGUAAGGUAAUGUAUACGCCUGCAUAUUAAGCUUUGUACAUGUUCAAUGGACUUAUAUGCAUACAUGUUUGUAUUGUUAGUCGUUGGAUAACAGAAGUAAGUGGUUUACAAAAUUGUGUUAUUGUUCAUUUUGAACCCAGUUUGCUACA